UGAGGAAUAUUGGGCAAUGGAGGCAACUCUGACCCAGCCAUGCCGCGUGAGUGAGAAGGUUUUCGAAUUGUAAAGCUCUUUCAGGUGAGAAGAUGAUGACGGUAUCACCAGAAGAAGCCCCGGCAAACUUCGUGCCAGCAGCCGCGGUAAUACGAAGGGGGCGAGCGUUGUUCGGAAUUACUGGGCGUAAAGGGUGUGUAGGCGGUUAUAUAAGAUAGUGGUGAAAUGCCGGGGCUCAACCUUGGAAUUGCCAUUAUGACUGUAUAUCUUGAAUUGUGUAGAGGAUAGUGGAAUACCCAGUGUAGAGGUGAAAUUCGUAGAUAUUGGGUAGAACACCAGAGGCGAAGGCGACUAUCUGGGCACAUAUUGACGCUGAGGCACGAAAGCAUGGGGAUCAAACA
rnacentral:rRNA from 1 species